GUUCAUGUGCCAGAAUAUCAACUGCAUUUUCAGGUCUGGUGUUUAAUUUCUGUCUCUUCAGCCAAGGCAGAUCAACGUUCAGCAAGUGAUUUCCAGGUGUGCCAGCUACUGUCAGCCAAAGCACAGUGCUCUGGGAUUCAAACAGCACUGAAGAGUCGACCUGCAGGGUGCCACAGCAUCUGCAGCUGCCUCAGGGCACUUUGGUGGGAACCCUUCAAAACUUUCAAUUCAGAACAGCACCUAUGUCAUAAGCACUUCAUAAAGUCCCGAUUAAAUUGCCCCAUUCUGUGGGACACAGCUACAGCCUUGAAGGUCGUGCUGCUGCUGUUGUGCGUCUGAGUCCCAGCGCUGGAAAUGAAAAGGUUCAGAGAAUCCUGACACCAAGGAGAGGCACAAAGCUGCACUCUGCUCAUGACAGCUUCUCUUUACACCACAGCUUUUCCUCUGAGCAUGUUCCAGUGUCUCUGCACUCCCAGUCCACCUGCAGCAGCCAGGGCCAGGCUCUCGUAGCCUGGCUCUCCUGCUGGGAGCUUCUCAGAGCACGAGCCGCCUCCUUUCCAGCAGAUCGCAGGUGUUCUCCACAUGGCGUGAGCAGGUGA
rnacentral:lncRNA from 1 species